rnacentral:ncRNA from 1 species
UCCCCCGCUUCUCCUCCCUGAGCGGGUGCCUGUCGUGACUACGAUAAGGCAUUGUUUAAUGCCGCCGUGAUAAGACACGGCGGUUUUUUUU